rnacentral:rRNA from 1 species
CCCGCUGAACUUAAGCAUAUCAAUAAGCGGAGGAAAAGAAACCAACAGGGAUUGCCUCAGUAACGGCGAGUGAAGCGGCAACAGCUCAAAUUUGAAAUCUGACCUUUCGGGGUUCGAGUUGUAAUUUGUAGAGGAUGUUUCGGGUGACCGGGUCGGUGGAAAUUUCUUGGAACAGAAUGUCAAAGAGGGUGAGAAUCCCGUCUGGUACCGACCAUAGGGCCCAUGUGAAACUCCUUCGACGAGUCGAGUUGUUUGGGAAUGCAGCUCCAAAUGGGUGGUAAAUUUCAUCUAAAGCUAAAUAUUGGCCAGAGACCGAUAGCGCACAAGUAGAGUGAUCGAAAGAUGAAAAGUACUUUGAAAAGAGAGUUAAAAAGUACGUGAAAUUGUUGAAAGGGAAGCGCUUGCAAUCAGACCUGCUUGCAGUUGUUUAUCUAGGCAUUUAGCCUCGUGCAUUCUUCUGUAAGUCAGGCCAGUAUCGGUUUGGGCGGUUGGAUAAAGAAUUCAGGAAUGUAGCUCUUUUCGGGGAGUGUUAUAGCCUGUUUUGUAAUGCAGCCAGCCCAGAUCGAGGACCGCGCUUCGGCUAGGAUACUGGCGUAAUGGUUGUAAGCGGCCCGUCUUGAAACACGG